rnacentral:rRNA from 1 species
GACAGAGGGUGCAAACGUUGUUCGGAAUUACUGGGCGUAAAGCGCAUGUAGGUGGCUUGGCAAGUCGGAUGUGAAAGCCCACGGCUCAACCGUGGAAGUGCAUUCGAAACUGCCUCGCUAGAGUCCCGGAGAGGAAAGUGGAAUUGGUGGUGUAGAGGUGAAAUUCGUAGAUAUCACUAGGAACACCGGCGGCGAAAGCGGCUUUCUGGACGAGGACUGACACUGAGAUGCGAAAGCGUGGGGAGCAAACAGG